rnacentral:rRNA from 1 species
AGAGGAAGUAAAAGUCGUAACAAGGUCUCCGUUGGUGAACCAGCGGAGGGAUCAUUGCUGGAACGCGCCCCAGGCGCACCCAGAAACCCUUUGUGAACUUAUACCUUACUGUUGCCUCGGCGCAUGCCGGCCCCCAGGGGCCCCUCGGAGACGAGGAGCAGGCACGCCGGCGGCCAAGUUAACUCUUGUUUUUACACUGAAACUCUGAGAAAAAAAACAAAAUGAAUCAAAACUUUCAACAACGGAUCUCUUGGUUCUGGCAUCGAUGAAGAACGCAGCGAAAUGCGAUAAGUAAUGUGAAUUGCAGAAUUCAGUGAAUCAUCGAAUCUUUGAACGCACAUUGCGCCCUCCGGUAUUCCGGAGGGCAUGCCUGUUCGAGCGUCAUUUCAACCCUCAAGCACUGCUUGGUGUUGGGGCACUGCCUUUUCCGGAAGGCAGGCCCUGAAAUUCAGUGGCGAGCUCGCCAGGACCCCGAGCGCAGUAGUUAAACCCUCGCUUUGGAAGGCCCUGGCGGUGCCCUGCCGUUAAACCCCCAACUCUUGAAAAUUUGACCUCGGAUCAGGUAGGAAUACCCGCUGAACUUAAGCAUAUCAAUA